GACGAACGCUGGCGGCGUGCCUAAUACAUGCAAGUUGAGCGAUGAAGAUUGGUGCUUGCACCAAUUUGAAGAGCAGCGAACGGGUGAGUAACGCGUGGGGAAUCUGCCUUUGAGCGGGGGACAACAUUUGGAAACGAAUGCUAAUACCGCAUAAUAACUUUAAACAUAAGUUUUAAGUUUGAAAGAUGCAAUUGCAUCACUCAAAGAUGAUCCCGCGUUGUAUUAGCUAGUUGGUGAGGUAAAGGCUCACCAAGGCGAUGAUACAUAGCCGACCUGAGAGGGUGGUCGGCCACAUUGGGACUGAGACACGGCCCAAACUCCUACGGGAGGCAGCAGUAGGGAAUCUUCGGCAAUGGACGAAAGUCUGACCGAGCAACGCCGCGUGAGUGGAGAAGGGUUUCGGAUCGUAAAACUCUGUUGGUAGAGAAGAACGUUGGUGAGAGUGGAAAGCUCAUCAAGUGACGGUAACUACCCAGAAAGGGACGGCUAACUACGUG
rnacentral:rRNA from 1 species